AUUAUCUAUUUAAAUAUAAAGCAUAAUAUAUAUAUGUACCAGGCAAGUGUAUAAGGGGGGAUUUUAGGGGUUGAACCCCCUCCUGAAUUUUUAUGAAAAUUAUGAUGAAAGUAUGUUUUUAAUAGAGUCUCAUAAGCAGUUUCUGUCAAUGAGGAAGAUAAAUACAAUUUUGGUUUUAUUUUUAUGUUUUUACUACAUAGUAGGGACAUAUUUUUAUUAUUGUAAUUUCUAAUUUUGUGUGGUUUUCCUG